rnacentral:lncRNA from 1 species
UUAAAAAAUUCUCUCUCUAAAAAAAAAAAAAAAUUGUGUCCACCUAAAACCGAAAAAUAAUUUAAAAAAAAAAAGAGUAUGAUUUCAAGUUUGAGGUCAACCUCAACAACUUAGACCAUCAGCAUCUCAGCAAGACACUGUCUCAAAACAAAAAAUAAAAAGGGCUGAGGAUGGAAUGUGGCUCAGUGGGUUCAAUCCCCAGCAUCAAAAAACAAACUUAUGGCUUAUGAUUCUGGUCCAAGGUUGAGGGGCCACAUCUUGUGAUGGCCUUCUCACUAGCAGAGUCCCAAGGUAGCACAGAGUAUCACAAGGCAAGAGAGACACGGAGCACACAUGUAUGUCUGUGUCUCUCUCUUGUGCACACUCUCUCUCUCUCAUAAAGUUACCAGUAUUCAAUCAUGGGGGCUCCACCUUGAUGACUUUAUCUAAUCCUAAUCACCUCCCAAAAGUUCUACCCUUUUAAUAUCUCACAAUGGGAUUACACUUCAAUAUGAUUUUUUUCCAGGACAAACCAUGUUACUCUGCAUUUUUCUCGAGCCAAGUUUUAAGGCAGUGAGGGAGGUAACUGGGAAUGGGAUAUGUAUAAGAGUUGCCAGAGUGAUGGGUGGAAUGGGCAAGCCUCUCCCUGUGCAUUCUUGUAUCCCCAUAGCCUGCCCAGCCCCAGGAAAUGCUCAGCCAAGUUACCUCCCUACAAACUCCAGUGGGGCACUGGGUCCACUUUUCUUCCUCCUUCCUCCCCUCCCAGGAAGAUCUCUGAGAGUCAAGGCUUUUCUAUUUGCUUGGUUCCAUUAGCUUGGGGCUGGGGGUGUGAACAAUACAGACAUUCCUUGCUAAGUGCUUGAAUUAGACUAAUAGGUCAUCUAUGCUUUUCUCUGAAGAAGGUCCAGAUUGCUGGUAAACAACCAGACCAGCCCAGGGCCCAGAGCCAAGACGGGGUGGGGGCACAGUAGCUAGACUGAAGCUUUUAAUGGUAUCAGGACUGGCUGAGAUGGUUAAUGCCAUUAGACUAGCUUCUGGGUAGCAAGGUGGGAAGGGCUACUAGCAGCAAUGGUAAAUGGAGAGUUCUGAGUUAUGGUCUAGGAGCCAACUGUUUCUUAAAUAACUAUCUCCAAAUCCACUCAUUCAAUCAUUCAUUCAACAAAUCUUUCCACAACUACUUACCUGCCCCAGGCCUUGAGUAUUUUUAGAAAACACAAGAUCUGUCUCUGCCCAUUCAUUAGCUAUCAUUUAAAUGAAGGAGCAACCAGAGACUCUGGUAAUUAGACCUUAAAUUCAAGUAGUAGCACUCGUCAGUUAUCCUGGUUGAUUUUUUAACACCUAGCUAUUUGACAUCAGGAAACAUGUUUCACCUCUCUAGGAAUCUGUUUUCUCAUCUACAAUGGAGUCAUAGGGAAUUGUGGUUUUUGUUUUGCUUUGUUUCCUUGUGCAGGGGAUUGAACUCAGGGGAGCUCUACCACUGAGCUACAUCCCCAGCCCUUUUUAAAAUUUUUUUAAAAAUAUUUACUUUUCAGUUAUAAGUGCACACACUAUCUUCAUUUUAUUUUUAUGUGGUGCUGAGGAUCGAACCCAGUACCUUACACAUGCUAGGUAGGUGCUCUACCUCUGAGCCACAACCUUUUUAAAAUUUUUUAAACUUUUUAAAAUUUUAUUUUAAGAGAGGGUCUUACUAAGUUGCCCAGACUCUCCUCAAACUUGUGAUACUCCUGCUUCAGCUUCCCGGGUUGUUGGGAUCACAGGCAUGUGCCACAGUGCCCAACUUGCUUUGUUUUUAAUCAGUUCAGUAUCUGCAAUUUAAUUCAGCCAAAUACUAACAGGCAACAUCAAAUU